GCACCUACCGAUUGAAGGGUCCGGUGAAGCCUCGGGAUUGUGGCGAGUUCCCUUUAUUGGGAGUUUGUCGCGAGAACUUGUCUAAACCUUAUCAUUUAGAGGAAGGUGAAGUCGUAACAAGGUUUCCGUAGGUGAACCUGCAGAAGGAUCAUUAUCGGAUGAGCGUCCUUUAUGGCAAGAGUGUCGUUCUCUGUCGCCGCCGUACCCUUUAAACAAAUUCCUUCCCCUUCCCUCUCGCCCCCUCCGUCUUCACCCUUCUCCUUCUCUCUCUUUUUCC
rnacentral:misc_RNA from 1 species